rnacentral:rRNA from 1 species
GGGUGAGUAACGCGUGAGUAACCUGCCUUCAACAUGGGGAUAACAUUCUGAAAGGAAUGCUAAUACCGCAUGACAUAUCGGAACCACAUGGUUUUGAUAUCAAAGAUUUUAUCGCUUGAAGAUGGACUCGCGUCCGAUUAGUUAGUUGGUGAGGUAACGGCUCACCAAGACCGCGAUCGGUAGCCGGACUGAGAGGUUGAACGGCCACAUUGGGACUGAGACACGGCCCAGACUCCUACGGGAGGCAGCAGUGGGGGAUAUUGCGCAAUGGGGGCAACCCUGACGCAGCAACGCCGCGUGAAGGAUGAAGGUUUUCGGAUUGUAAACUUCUUUUAUUAAGGACGAAAAUUGACGGUACUUAAUGAAUAAGCUCCGGCUAACUACGUGCCAGCAGCCGCGGUAAUACGUAGGGAGCAAGCGUUGUCCGGAUUUACUGGGUGUAAAGGGUGCGUAGGCGGCUUUGCAAGUCAGAUGUGAAAUCUAUGGGCUCAACCCAUAAACUGCAUUUGAAACUGUAGAGCUUGAGUGAAGUAGAGGCAGGCGGAAUUCCCCGUGUAGCGGUGAAAUGCGUAGAGAUGGGGAGGAACACCAGUGGCGAAGGCGGCCUGCUGGGCUUUAACUGACGCUGAGGCACGAAAGCGUGGGUAGCAAACAGGAUUAGAUACCCUGGUAGUCCACGCUGUAAACGAUGAUUACUAGGUGUGGGGGGUCUGACCCCUUCCGUGCCGGAGUUAACACAAUAAGUAAUCCACCUGGGGAGUACG